UGAAAGAUUGACGUUUUAGGCCAUGUUAAUGUGCAUUAGCUAAUCGCAGUGUUUAAAACACAUUUCAGUUGACGUUAACUUGAACCUGAUGUGCUUGUUCAAUUUGCAAAUUUGUUAAAGAUUGAUACUGAGCCAAGCACUAGGCUAUUCGCUAAUGCUAACUAGCUAGCUAACAUCCCUGACCAUGAGCUCAUUAAACUACUCAUCCCCUGCUAAAGAAGUGGAUGUCUGCUGUCCGGAGAAAGAAGCUCUGGCGCUGAACAUUGUCGUGAAAGACGAAGAGGAGGAUAUUACAGUGAAAGGAGAGAAAGAACCUUUCAGAAUGAAAAAGGAGGAAGAGGAGGCUGUUAUAGGGAAAGAAGAGAAAGCAUACUCUUCCUCUCUAAAAGGUUCUAUCUCAGUAAAGGUGAAGGAGGAAGACGUUUUGGGAGUGAAAGAGGAGGAGACAGAAUAUCAGAUUAACACCAGAGAGAGACAUGACUAUCGUGGAUCCUCUGGGGAGACUCAACAUCCUGAUGCUGACGAGGCAGAGAAGAGUCUCUCCAUAUCAGAACACCAGAUGGACAACGCUAGCCCUUCCUCCCUCCCGGAGUCCCCGUGUCAUGCCUCUCCCGGUAGCACCUUACUGCUGGGUAUGAAGAGGUUG